AUGAGGCUCCCUGCUCAGCUCCUGGGGCUGCUGAUGCUCUGGGUCCCUGGAUCGAGUGGGGAUAUUGUGAUGAUCCAGAAUCCACUCUCCUUACCUGUCCCUCCUGGACAGCCGGCCUCCAUCUCCUGCAGGUCUAGUCAGAGCUUCCUACAUAGUGACGGAAAUACCUAUUUGGAUUGGUACCUGCAGAAGCCAGGCCAGUCUCCACGGCUUCUUAUCUACACAAUUUCUCGCAAAUUCUAUGGAGUCCCAAGCAGGUUCAGUGGCAGCAGGUCAGGGACAGGUUUCACACCUAAAUUCAGCAAGGUGGAGGCUGAGGAUGUUGGAGUUUAUUGCUGUGAAGAGGGUCUGCAAGGUCCUCACACAGUGGUACAGCUCCGAACACAAACCUUCCUAUUUGAGAUGGCUCAGCUGUCCACAGGUGUUUGCGUGGGAAGCCUGUAUGGCAGAUUCUGAGUAGGCUUCACAGGUAGAUGUUAGAUG